rnacentral:rRNA from 1 species
UACAGAGGUCUCAAGCGUUGUUCGGAUUCAUUGGGCGUAAAGGGUGCGUAGGCGGCGCGGUAAGUCGGGUGUGAAAUCUUGGAGCUUAACUCCGAAACUGCAUUCGAUACUGCCGUGCUUGAGGACUGGAGAGGAGACUGGAAUUUACGGUGUAGCGGUGAAAUGCGUAGAUAUCGUAAGGAAGACCAGUGGCGAAGGCGGGUCUCUGGACAGUUCCUGACGCUGAGACACGAAGGUCAGGGGAGCAAACGGG